rnacentral:rRNA from 1 species
UACAGAGGGGGCAAGCGUUGUUCGGAAUUACUGGGCGUAAAGGGCGCGUAGGCGGCCUUCUAAGUCGAACGUGAAAUCCCCGGGCUCAACCCGGGAACUGCGUCCGAUACCGGAAGGCUUGAAUCCGGGAGAGGGAUGCGGAAUUCCAGGUGUAGCGGUGAAAUGCGUAAAUAUCUGGAGGAACACCGGUGGCGAAGGCGGCAUCCUGGACCGGCAUUGACGCUGAGGCGCGAAAGCCAGGGGAGCAAACGGG